rnacentral:misc_RNA from 1 species
AGGCGGCGGAACGGAGAGAGUGUGAUGAAAGGUAGACGGGUAGCCCCCCUCCCCCUCCCCCGCACGCAGUAACAACAGAAAAGCGCUUCUGCUCCUUUCAGUGGCAAAGAUAACUAUCCGCCACAACAGCCUUAACGGAAAGCGAAACGAAGACAGGCGUCCUUUUCCGUGAUAUUGCCUUUUCUCUCCAUUCUUCUGCACAAGAGCACCAGGAUACAAAAGCACGGGAGGGAGGCAACGCCUUGUGUUUGGCUUCCUGCUUGACGCGCCGUUGUUCAUCAGCAUAGAUUCUCCUUUUUUUUGUUUCGGAAUUCCGUGCUUGAACUGGGAAGCUUCAGUUUCGUUCUCUUCUUGACGGCCACAUCCUUUUCCCCUUUCCCUCCACCACUCCUUUCGUUUUGCGCUUGGCGUCUUCGAGUUAGAGGGUAGCGCAGAGGUAUACAUGUAUGCAUGAAUAUGUGUGUUUGUGUGUGCUUUUUUUUUACAAAACACAAACACACGAACGAAGAAAAAAUAACAACAGCAUCGGCAGCGACCUUGAUGCAGGUAUGAAGGUGGCAGUCAGGGAGCUCCAUCAGACGGGAAGGGAGAGAGAGAGGUGGAGGCCAGCAUAGCUUCAGGCGCAGCGAUGAGGUUUGAAACAUGUACACCUACCAUAAAAAACGUUCGCUGAUGCGGAUGUGCCUUGGCGCGCGCCGUGUGCUGAAGGGUAUCACCUCGUAGUGCCAGCUUCGCAGUCGAGAUUUCUGUCUCAUUUUUUUUUUACUGCGUCAUUGUCAGUGUGUCCUGUGAGGACCACAGAGAGAGCAAGCGUAUCAGCCAGCUGCCGUG